GAUAGGAUAAGGUUAAGAUAGGACAAGUUAAGAUACUCUUAACUUGUAUGCCAUUUUAUGUUUUACAAAGACAUGAUAAAUUACCAUAAGUUUAGGAUAAGAUUAUAUGAGAUAGGAUUGCAUAGCAUAAGAUAAGAAAGAUAGGAUAAGAUAACAUAGAAUAAAAUUAAGAUAGGAUAGGUUACGGUAAGCUUAAGAUUGUAUAACAUAGGAUUAGAUUAAUUAUAAAUAAAGCAGUCCUCCUUAGAGGGGGGGUGGUGGAGGGAAUAUUUAAGAAAUAAAAAUAGGAUCAGUUAACAUAAGGUAAAGAUAAGAUUGUAUAACAUAGGAUUAGAUUAAUUAUAAAUAAAGCAGUCCUCCUUAGAGGGGGGGGUGGUGGAGGGAAUAUUUAAGAAAUAAAAAUAGGAUCAGUUAACAUAAGGUAAAGAUAAGAUUGUAUAACAUAGGAUUAGAUUAAUUGUAAAUAAAGCAGUCCUCCUUAGAGGGGGGGUGGUGGAGGGAAUAUUUAAGAAAUAAAAAUAGGAUUAAUUCAGAAGGUUAAGAUAAGAUUGUAUAACAUAGGAUUAGAUUAAUUGUAAAUAAAGCAGUCCUCCUUAGAGGGGGGGUGGUGGAGGGAAUAUUUAAGAAAUAAAAAUAGGAUUAAUUCAGAAGGUUAAGAUAAGAUUGUAUAACAUAGGGCUACAGUGAAGAAAUCAAAAAUUUCAAGGCAGCAUGAAGGUAACGCACAAUCAGGGAUGUGCAAUUUCUGAGGCAUGUAUUCAAAAAAAGUAUUUUAAUUGUGUUUUAUGAUUCAUAUUUGAGUUCAUGAAAUAAAAUGUUUUUUUCUACAGA